rnacentral:rRNA from 1 species
UACGUAGGGACCAAGCGUUGUUCGGAUUUACUGGGCGUAAAGGGCGCGUAGGCGGCUUAACAAGUCACUUGUGAAAUCUCCGGGCUUAACUCGGAACGGCCAAGUGAAACUGUCAAGCUAGAGUGCAGAAGGGCAAUCGGAAUUCUUGGUGUAGCGGUGAAAUGCGUAGAUAUCAAGAGGAACACCUGAGGUGAAGACGGGUUGCUGGCUGACACUGACGCUGAGGCGCGAAGCCAGGGAGCAAACGGG